UACGUAGGGACCAAGCGUUGUUCGGAUUUACUGGGCGUAAAGGGCGCGUAGGCGGCUUAACAAGUCACUUGUGAAAUCUCCGGGCUUAACUCGGAACGGCCAAGUGAAACUGUCAAGCUAGGGUGCAGAAGGGGCAAUCGGAAUUCUUGGUGUAGCGGUGAAAUGCGUAGAUAUCAAGAGGAACACCUGAGGUGAAGAGGGUUGCUGGGCUGACACAUGACGCUGAGGCGCGAAAGCCAGGGGAGCAAACGGG
rnacentral:rRNA from 1 species